CGUGCCCAGCCCCGCCCCGCUUGCUCCCAGAUCCCCUUGCGCCUGCUGUAGUGCGUUGUGCCGGCCAAUCAGCGAGCGCGGGGCGUGGUCAGCGUGAAGAAAAAUUGGAGAAGAAAAUGUAAUAGAUAUAAACAUUUACUGAAGAUUUUAGUAGGUGGAUACAGCAAGUCAGAACACUUUCCAAAGCUAACCUAUAAGGACACGUUUAGUUCGAGAAAUAUGAGGUCUAAAGUCAGGUAGAUACCCAGAUG